CGGACGGGUGAGUAAUGUCUGGGAAACUGCCCGAUGGAGGGGGAUAACUACUGGAAACGGUAGCUAAUACCGCAUAACGUCGCAAGACCAAGAGGGGACCUUCGGGCCUCUGCCAUCGGAUGUGCCCAGAUGGGAUUAGCUAGUAGGUGGGGUAACGGCUCACCUAGGCGACGAUCCCUAGCUGGUCUGAGAGGAUGACCAGCCACACUGGAACUGAGACACGGUCCAG
rnacentral:rRNA from 1 species